GUGUGCAACAAAAUUUUAGAGUGAAAAGUUUACCGUCGAACGUAAAAUUCAAUCGAUGUAGGCAUACAAAAAUUUAAACCACAUUAACAGCUUACAGAAAAAUUCUAAUAUAAAAAUUCCAACAAAAAAGCGUAAAUACGCAAAAAUUGUUACCAAAAAUUUAUUGCAAACGUUCAGUGAACAAAAUUCUUGAACGUGCCAACGUCUAAUCGCCCAUCACGUUACGAACAAUCACGUACAGCACAUUUUAAUUGUAUUAAAACAAACAAAAAAGUAAAGAAAAUCGAUUUUUCGUGUGAGAUUAAAUAAAUUUGGGGCACCUAAAUUUUCAGUACGGUUCAGUUCAGUUCAUAUUACAUUGGCAUUCAUAAAGUGGGAGUGACGGAGCAGCACCGAACGCACGGAGCUACAACCAACCAGCAGUUGCCCAUAGGGGAAUAAAGCAAGAGCAAAAGAAUGCUGUGGUCAUAACGGACUUCCCAACAAAAUAAAAAUCGAACAACAAAUACGACAAAAACAAAAAAUUAUAAAAAUAGAAAUAAACAAAAAUACAACGCAAACGUCGCGUGUGCUUAGUAGUACGGACGCGUGUAAAAAUGAACGAAGCGUAAAAGUAAAAAAUAAAAAGUAUCUUCCAAGUCAUAUACAAAGAUGAUCUAAAAGCAGAAAUUGUGUGUGUUAAAAGAAGCGUACGAAAAUAUAUAAAUAAAUAAAAUAUAAAUCAAACGCAGAAAUUGCAAAACAUACGACAUAAGCUUGAGAAACUCGGCUAAUUAGAUACCUAGAAAAAAAAUCUAAAGAGAAAAAAGAAAUAAGAAAACGAAUUGUAUUAGGCAUAAAAAGCAAUCCGGUAGAUUACAAAUACAACGUGAAACAAAUUAUACACAAAUACUGUGCUCAAUAACGUAGCAACUAAUAAAGCCCAGUUAGUAGAAUCGAUUAUACACAAAAGUCUUCUAAGGUAAAUAUUGAAAAAUUCAAUUAGGAUUUUGCUUAAGGUUCUCACCACUUAUCUCCCGUGGCAUCACUCGAUUAUGCUUUUUGAGGACUUAACAUAAAUUUGAAAAUAUCAUAAUGUUGCAUUUUUCUACACGUCGCCGUGGAGUAUUUCUAUCUCCAUAAGCAUUUAAAGUAACGAAUAAACAUUUCGAUAAGCAAUUUGGAAAUUGUGAAAAAAAAAACGCAAGUAAUUAAGUAUUAAAAAGGAACAUCUUUUACGUAACAUAUUUCUAGUCAAAUCGAAAAUUUCAAAAAAAAAAAUAUAUAUUAUAUAUAAAGAAAUAAAAAAGAAAACAGUCACAAAGACCAGCGAGUGCAGUAGGAAAGCGUACACCAAAGAAGAAAGGAGAGACAGCGAGAAAAGGUAUUUGAGGCAAAUCAUAGAGCAAA